rnacentral:rRNA from 1 species
GAUGAACGCUGGCGGCGUGCCUAAUACAUGCAAGUCGAGCGAACAGAUGAGGAGCUUGCUCCUCUGACGUUAGCGGCGGACGGGUGAGUAACACGUGGAUAGCCUACCUAUAAGACUGGGAUAACUUCGGGAAACCGGAGCUAAUACCGGAUAAUAUAUUGAACCGCAUGGUUCAAUAGUGAAAGACGGUUUUGCUGUCACUUAUAGAUGGAUCCGCGCCGCAUUAGCUAGUUGGUAAGGUAACGGCUUACCAAGGCAACGAUGCGUAGCCGACCUGAGAGGGUGAUCGGCCACACUGGAACUGAGACACGGUCCAGACUCCUACGGGAGGCAGCAGAAGGGAAUCUUCCGCAAUGGGCGAAAGCCUGACGGAGCAACGCCGCGUGAGUGAUGAAGGUCUUCGGAUCGUAAAACUCUGUUAUUAGGGAAGAACAAAUGUGUAAGUAACUAUGCACGUCUUGACGGUACCUAAUCAGAAAGCCACGGCUAACUACGUG